rnacentral:rRNA from 1 species
UGCAGUCGAACGGGUCCGGCCGCAAGGCCGGGCCAGUGGCGCAAGGGUGAGUAAGGCGACGGUAACCAACCCCAUGGUCGGGCAUAGCCGCGGGAAACUGCGGGUAAUUCCCAGCGAUGUUCGCGUCGGGCAUCCGGUGCGAACCAAAGCUCCGGCGCCGUGGGACGGGCUGUCGUGGUAUUAGGUUGUUGGCGGGGUAACGGCCCACCAAGCCUGUGAUGCCUACCGGGCGUGCGAGCGUGGCCCGGCACAUUGGGACUGAGACACUGCCCAGACUCCUACGGGAGGCUGCAGUCGAGAAUCUUCGGCAAUGGGCGCAAGCCUGACCGAGCGACGCCGCGUGGAGGAUGAAGGCCUUCGGGUUGUAAACUCCUGUCGAGGGGGAGGAAGGCCGGGUCACACCGGCUUGACCUAUCCCUGGAGGAAGCACGGGCUAAGUUCGUGCCAGCAGCCGCGGUAAGACGAACCGUGCGAACGUUAUUCGGAAUCACUGGGCUUAAAGCGCGUGUAGGCGGAUGGGGACGUCGGUCGCUGAAAUCCCCCGGCUCAACCGGGGAACGGGCGCCGAAACGCCCCGUCUGGAGGGACGUAGGGGGACCUGGAACUUCCGGUGGAGCGGUGAAAUGCGUUGAGAUCGGAAGGAACGCCCGUGGCGAAAGCGAGAUCCUGGACGUCUGCUGACGCUGAGACGCGAAAGCUAGGGUAGCGAACGGGAUUAGAUACCCCGGUAGUCCUAGCCGUAAACGAUGGGCACUGGGUAGGGGGCUCGCCGAUGGGCUCCCUGCCGUAGGAAACCGUGAAGUGCCCCGCCUGGGGAGUAUGGUCGCAAGGCUGAAACUCAAAGGAAUUGACGGGGGCUCACACAAGCGGUGGAGCAUGUGGCUCAAUUCGAGGCUAC